rnacentral:tRNA from 1 species
GGGGUUGUGGUCUAGUGGUAUGACAUCUUCUUAGCAUUGCUCUUGGAGCAUUACUGAGUGGAGAAGGUUCUGGGUUCGAUUCCCAGCUACUCCA